rnacentral:rRNA from 1 species
CUUUCUUUGCUGGCGACCGGCGCACGGGUGAGUAACACGUAUCCAACCUGCCCUUUAUUCGGGGAUAGCCUUUCGAAAGAAAGAUUAAUACCCGAUAGCAUAAUGAUUCCGCAUGGUUUCAUUAUUAAAGGAUUCCGGUAAAGGAUGGGGAUGCGUUCCAUUAGGUUGUUGGUGAGGUAACGGCCCACCAAGCCUUCGAUGGAUAGGGGUUCUGAGAGGAAGGUCCCCCACAUUGGAACUGAGACACGGUCCAA